CUUGGGGUUUCUUCCAAAGGUUCCGUAUCAGACUCCAAACACGAUAACACUAAUGCACAAUUCAAUAAUAACUUUGUUCGAUUACCCAAAAUCAAUCUACCUAGCUUCGAUGGGAACUAUCAAUACUGGCUCGAGUUUAGAGACACAUUUAUUUCGUUAAUUCAUGAUAAUAAUAGCAUAGACAAUAUUAACAAAUUUCAUUAUUUGCGAGCUUCACUCCAAGGCAAUGCAGCCUUAAUUAUAAAAAAUAUUGAUUUUACCGGCGAUAACUAUAAUGUGGCAUGGGACUUAUUAUGCGAACGUUUUAAUAACAAUCGCCUUCUUAUAGACAAUCAUUUGCAGACAAUAUUUGAUGUUGAGCCCGUAUUGAGGGAGUCCAGUACUUCUCUUAGAAACUUAGUUGAUGUAAUAAAUAAAAACAUUAGAGCUCUUACAACAUUAAAACAACCUACUGAACAUUGGCAUACUCUUCUUAUUUUUACAUUGGCAAAAAAGUUGGACAUAACAACAAGUCGUCACUGGGAAGAGUAUCGCAAUGAGUUGUCUAUUGAACCCACUUUACAUCAAUUUUGUACUUUUAUAGGAAGGAAAGCGGACUUAUUGGAAUCAAUUGAAACAAAUCAUAACUCGUCUAAUAAUAAUAUAUUGGUUGCCUUAAAUAAUAAUCAUACAAACUUAAAUAAACAAACACAACAAAAUAAAAAAUCAAAUAAUAACAGUUAUAAUAAUAGUAAACAAAACUUUUUAAAUUGUCCGCUUUGCUCCCAACGCCAUUUACUAUUUUCGUGUGAAUCUUUUAGAGCUUUGUCUAUUGAGAACCGUAUACAAAAAGCAAAGGAUUUUAAAGUUUGUCUUAACUGCUUACGCCCUGGUCAUUUUGCUAAGCAAUGCAAGCUCACUCAUUGCAAAUAUUGUAAAACUAAACACAACACUCUUUUACAUUUGGAAUCACAAAAUUUAGUACCUUUUAUUAAUCCUUUGCCUUCUGCUAUUGACAAUGUUACCUCCGCAGCUACUUCCUUGCAGAUUGCUACUUCUUCCCAUGUUUUACUGUCCACAGCAUUGGUGAACGUCUUGAACACUUCGGGCGAGAAGUACACUGCCCGGCUACUACUGGACAACGGUAGUACAGCCAACUUCGUAACGCAACGCUUGUGUGACAAGUUGGGUUUGUCACGAUGCGGCACGAGAACAAAGGUCACAGUGAAGGCUGUACAUUUGGAGCUUGUUACGGACCUCACCACCGAAGCUUACAUGGCUGCUCUGAAUCGGUUCGUGGCGCGGCGAGGCAAGCCUCAAAGCAUCACGUCCGAUAAUGGCACUAACUUUGUCGGUGCAUCGAAUGAUCUGCAAAGGUUCCUUUCGAGUAAUAAUAAUCUAGCAUCUCAUAUAGCCCAGGAAGGCAUUGAAUUUAUUUUUACUCCUCCCUACACACCCCAUUUUAAUUCAUUAGCCGAAGCUGCAGUCAAAUCAUGUAAGCAUCAUUUAAAAAGAUUAUUGCAUCUCACACAUUUUACAUUCGAGGAAAUGACAACUUGCCUUUGUAAAAUCGAGGCCGUCCUCAACUCACGACCUCUUACCUCUCUUUCUUCUGACCCUAACGAUUUUUCGGCUCUUACACCUUCCCAUUUCCUAAUUGGGCGACCAUUGCUGACUGUACCUCACCCUCAUGUGGCUGACGUCACUAUCACCCGUCUGGAUCGAUGGAAACGCAUCCAACACGUUCAGCAACACUUCUGGCGACGGUUUCAUAACGAGUAUGUCUCUCUGCUACAGACCAAGACGAAAUGGUUGGCAUCCACAGGCGAGGUCAAGCCUGGACAGCUGGUGCUCAUCAAGGAGAAGACCCCGCCACUGCUCUGGUCACUAGGGCGGGUCGUGAAGACCUAUCCAGGCGUGGAUGGCAUCACCAGGGUGGCCGAGUUGAAGACAAAGAGGGGGACCAUACGUCGAGCCUUCAACUGCAUCUGCCCGCUUCCACUUCAUUGAAGAAGAUGACUCUUCAACCCGGGGAGUAUGUUGGCGCUUCUCGGGUCCUCGGGCUUCUUCGACAUCGAUCGGCCAUCAUCGUCUCCGCGCGAGGCGCCGGCACACUCCGUACGUGCCCGACGCCCACUCAGCCUCACGACCGUCACCGGUGUCAGACGCGGCCCUCCCACGUAGGCGCGAACUAGCGAUAUAUUUAAUCAUUACACCUAUGAAAU